rnacentral:rRNA from 1 species
GACGAACGCUGGCGGCGUGCCUAAUACAUGCAAGUCGAACGAACCGCGACUGAGUGCUUGCACUUGGUCAAGGUGAGUGGCGAACGGGUGAGUAACACGUGGGUAACCUACCUCAUAGUGGGGGAUAACAGUCGGAAACGACUGCUAAUACCGCAUAGGACAUGGAAUCACAUGAUUCUGUGAGGAAAGGUGGCGCAAGCUAUCGCUACGAGAUGGACCCGCGGUGCAUUAGCUAGUUGGUAGGGUAAGGGCCUACCAAGGCGAUGAUGCAUAGCCGACCUGAGAGGGUGAUCGGCCACAUUGGGACUGAGACACGGCCCAAACUCCUACGGGAGGCAGCAGUAGGGAAUCUUCCGCAAUGGACGCAAGUCUGACGGAGCAACGCCGCGUGAGUGAAGAAGGUCUUCGGAUCGUAAAGCUCUGUUGUUAGAGAAGAACAGCGCAUAGAGUAACUGUUAUGCGUGUGACGGUAUCUAAACAGAAAGCCACGGCUAACUACGUG